rnacentral:rRNA from 1 species
AGCUCUAAUAGCAUAUAUUAAACUUGUUGCAGUUAAAACGUUCGUAGUUUCAUUUUCUAUAUUUCAAUGCGUUAUGUUUUGCAUAAACGUUUUUUGGAAUAAAGCAUGAGGAUAUACCUUUAACGUAUGUUUUGGGUUAUUUUCAGCUGCUUUGAGUAAAUAAUAGUGUUCGUAGCAAGUUAGUGUUAUGAAUUCUAUAGCGUGGUACAGCAAGUUAGGGCUUGUUUUGAUUUUUGCAAAUAAUAUUUAGAAACAAGUGAUAACUGAAUAAGAGCCGAUUGAGGUAUUCAUAUUUAACUGUUAGAGGUGAAAUUCUAAGACCAGUUAAAGAUGUCCGAGAGCGAAAGCAUUUACCGGGGAGGUUUUUGUUA